CCUACGGGAGGCAGCAGUGGGGAAUAUUGCACAAUGGGCGCAAGCCUGAUGCAGCCAUGCCGCGUGUGUGAAGAAGGCCUUCGGGUUGUAAAGCACUUUCAGCGGGGAGGAAGGCGGUGAGGUUAAUAACCUCAUCGAUUGACGUUACCCGCAGAAGAAGCACCGGCUAACUCCGUGCCAGCAGCCGCGGUAAUACGGAGGGUGCAAGCGUUAAUCGGAAUUACUGGGCGUAAAGCGCACGCAGGCGGUCUGUCAAGUCGGAUGUGAAAUCCCCGGGCUCAACCUGGGAACUGCAUUCGAAACUGGCAGGCUAGAGUCUUGUAGAGGGGGGGUAGAAUUCCAGGUGUAGCGGUGAAAUGCGUAGAGAUCUGGAGGAAUACCGGUGGCGAAGGCGGCCCCUGGACAAAGACUGACGCUCAGGUGCGAAAGCGUGGGGAGCAAACAGGAUUAGAUACCCGUGUAGUC
rnacentral:rRNA from 1 species